GCCCAAAAAUGCUAACACUCACUGCUGUCCUGCGAGAGGGCUGGGAGAAGAGGGCUCUUCACGGCUGACACAAGAGCAACAAGCAUUCCAUAGAAACCACACUUCAGCUGAUGCAUGUUGAUCUUCUGGACCAAGUGUAUAAAAACCUCUCUCCUACCACCUGACACUAAGGGGCAGAGCACAAGGAGAAGACGGGAUGGCCUCAAGAUUUCCAGUGUGCAAAAACCCCAUUGUUUAUUCUAUGUUCUUUUUCCCCCGAGCAGUCUCUCAUCAGAACUAAGAGCUUGUCAUUCUUCCCAAUCAGUGUGUGAUCCAUAAGUGUGGAGAGUCCUGGCCUACCUCAUUUUGCUCAUGACUUGCAAGGUUUACUUGAAAAGCUCUUAGGAGCACCCGUGAAUAAACAAGAAUACAAAGU
rnacentral:lncRNA from 1 species